rnacentral:lncRNA from 1 species
UGGAGCAGGUUCAAAACUUCAUGCUGAUCAAUAGCGGGAUCAUAUCUGUAUAUAGCCACUGCACUCCAAAAAUUUUUGCAAUCUACCCAUCUGACAAAGGGCUAAUAUCCAGAAUCUACAAAGAACAUAAACAAAUUUACAAGAAAAAAAUCAAACAGCCCCAUCAAAAAGUGGACAACGGAUUAUUUUAUAUAUUGUAUAUUACGUAUAAUAUAUAUUUUAUGUUGUAUAUUACGUAUAAUAUAUAUUUGACGUAUAACGUAUAUUACGUAUAAUAUAGAUUUGACGUAGAACGUAUAUUACGUAUAAUAUAGAUUUGACGUAGAACGUAUAUUACGUAUAAUAUAGAUUUGACGUAGAACGUAUAUUACGUGUAAUAUAGAUUUGACGUAGAACGUAUAUUACGUGUAAUAUAGAUUUGACGUAGAACGUAUAUUACGUCCAAAGAAGGGUUUUCUCUUUGGCAAAGGUCAGAGGGUAAGGCUGAGAGAUGGGCUCAGGGGCUAUUUCAGCUAUUUCCGUACUGCAGAAGCAAGGGGUUGGUUCCAGAGAUAUUUAAAAAUGCAAUCAACAGGACUCAAUAAUUCAUGGACCGUGAGGGGCUUAGGAUGACUCAGGUUUAUAGUUUAGCUGACUUCCUGGAUCGCAGUAUCUCUAACUAAGAUAGAGAAAAU